rnacentral:tRNA from 2 species
GCACUCGUGGUGGAAUGGUAGACACGCUAGACUUAGGAUCUAGUGCUUAAUCGCAUAAGAGUUCAAGUCUCUUCGAGUGCACCA